UGGGGAAUAUUGCACAAUGGGCGCAAGCCUGAUGCAGCGACGCCGCGUGGGGGAUGACGGCCUUCGGGUUGUAAACCUCUUUCACCAUCGACGAAGGUCCGGGUUUUCUCGGAUUGACGGUAGGUGGAGAAGAAGCACCGGCCAACUACGUGCCAGCAGCCGCGGUAAUACGUAGGGUGCGAGCGUUGUCCGGAAUUACUGGGCGUAAAGAGCUCGUAGGUGGUUUGUCGCGUUGUUCGUGAAAUCUCACGGCUUAACUGUGAGCGUGCGGGCGAUACGGGCAGACAAGAGUACUGCAGGGGAGACUGGAAUUCCUGGUGUAGCGGUGGAAUGCGCAGAUAUCAGGAGGAACACCGGUGGCGAAGGCGGGUCUCUGGGCAGUAACUGACGCUGAGGAGCGAAAGCGUGGGGAGCGAACA
rnacentral:rRNA from 1 species